rnacentral:rRNA from 2 species
UAGGGAAUCUUCGGCAAUGGGGGGAACCCUGACCGAGCAACGCCGCGUGAGUGAAGAAGGUUUUCGGAUCGUAAAGCUCUGUUGUUAAGGAAGAACGAGUGUGAGAAUGGAAAGUUCAUGCUGUGACGGUACUUAACCAGAAAGGGACGGCUAACUACGUGCCAGCAGCCGCGGUAAUACGUAGGUCCCGAGCGUUGUCCGGAUUUAUUGAGCGUAAAGCGAGCGCAGGCGGUUAGAAAAGUCUGAAGUGAAAGGCAGUGGCUCAACCAUUGUAGGCUUUGGAAACUGUUUAACUUGAGUGCAGAAGGGGAGAGUGGAAUUCCAUGUGUAGCGGUGAAAUGCGUAGAUAUAUGGAGGAACACCGGUGGCGAAAGCGGCUCUCUGGUCUGUAACUGACGCUGAGGCUCGAAAGCGUGGGGAGCGAACAGG